rnacentral:lncRNA from 1 species
ACAUGCCUCUGCUGUACGCCUCGGCCACAGGACACAGAGCACUAAGAAGACAGAGAACAGCCCUGCAAAGCUAAUCUGCUCAACCUUCACCUACUGGGUUCAAUGAAUAUGAAAAGCUGCCUUCCUGAAACUUUUCCUUCAAAGAGGGAAUGAUCUCCUGGAAUUCAAGCUUCUACAAGGUGGCUACCUGGUGUUUUCCACUUUUGCCGUCUCCUAAAAAGCAUCAUUCAAGCCUUGCCCUUUCAACCCACUGAACACAUAAACAUGCUUUCUCCUUAACUGAACUUAUGGCCACGAUGAACUUGAACUCUGAGAUUCACAGAGGAGAGUUUGUUUUAACAGCUGCUUUUACAAUGAAGCCCUGGAGUUACUACUCUCAAGACCCCUGGUUCUGAUAGGCCAUCUUUUCACUGUCCUCUGCAUUUUCUAAUGCCCAGCUGUCAAGGAACACCCACUGAAGUUUUCCAAAACAAAGGCACGAAACACAAGAAAGGCAAGAGAAUGCUAAUCACCAGAUGCAUGGGCAUCCUAUGGGGGAACCCCUUACAUGUGGAAUACGGUUUUUCUCCCCAAUUUAUUUUUAUAAAUUUAUUGAUUUCUUUGCUAGUUUGUUAUUAAUUGUUAGAGAUGUCCUGUUGCCUGAGGUUGCCCUGUCCGAUAUGGUAGCCACCAGCGACAGGUAGCUAUUUAGAGUAAUUUAAAAAUUACAUUAAAAAUGCAGUUUCCUUGUCACUUAACCAUGUUUCAAGUGCUCAGUAUUAACCACAUGUGACUAGUGGCUUCCAUAAAGGAAGGCAAAAAUAGAGAACAUUUACAUCGCUGCAGAAAGCUACUAGAUUUUUUUGGCCAAGGCAUAAGCUCUUUCUCAUAAGAGAAAGGGGAUGCAGAUCUUGCUAAGAGUGAUGGAUUUCUGGGUUCAGCCUACAUGAGUCAUCUUCCAUACUACCCCUGGACAUGCUUUCCUUGGCUGCCAAUUUUCUAUUUUAUAAAUUUCAGGAAAGAGAGAUUAUGGUUGUUAAAACCAUUCAUGACAAUGAUCCCACUUUAGAGAAAACAACAGCAACAAGCAAAGAAGAUGGUGUGGAGAUCCGCACAUUCCACAUCUUUUAAUUGGUACCCAUUAAAUAACAAAGGGAAAAAGUACCCUCAGACCACAACUCUCCACCUUGUGUGGAGGCCAAGGACCCAGCAGGGAGAAGGCAGAAGAUUAGGUUCUCCACUCAUCCUGGCUCUCAGACCACUGAACUCACAUUUGGGUUCUAAUGGAAUGGUGAUUGGAAGCAUAUUCUCCAAUAGGAGGUUUUUAAAAGUUCUGUGCCAUCAGCCAGGCAGCAUCUGUCAUUUAAAAUGACUGGCCAGUUGCACGUUUAAAAGCAAAGAUAAAAUUGCUAAUUUAUACUUACUGAAUAAACAUCAGCAGUAUCCAUGAAGGUACCUACCCUAAUAGCAAGUUGUAUUUUUAUUUUUAUGGUGGUGGCGAAGCUGCCAGGAAAACCAAAGCAUCAGUUCUUUAAUUACAUUUGUUUAGUAUUGAUUUAAUACUAAAAUUUCUCUUGCUCCCUUAGAACAAAGAGCUCUAACUUGUACACUGCUGUAUCCUUAGCACCUGGAACAGUCCCUGGCCUACAAUAGGCACUUAGAAAGUAUUUGUUAAAAAUUGAUUUUUUUUUUUUAAAGAAACAACCCAGAGUUUUUUUAUUCUGCCCCAACCCCCAACCCCUGGCAUUAAAAUAAAUCUUCCUCAACUGCCAUCACUAAUCGCCAGGAUUCCCUCCUAGCCAAUUAUGCUUGGACUCAACCUCUACCUCCCACUCCACAUUCCAAAGUUUCUAUUUCUUUCCAUUCCAGAAGGGCAACUCCACAACAGGAGUGAGGGAGAGGACCUGGACUCCUCCUCAGAGUCCAAUAACACUCCUAACCCUGCUCCCCCAACCUGUGGACUUUUUAAAUCCAUGAAAAUAGAACCUGUCAAGCUACCACAAAAUAGCAUCAGAAGGCAGGAUCAGUCUUUCAUAGGCAUACAAUCUCUGUAAAUACUGAAAAAAGAUUAUUAAAAGCCUGCUAAGUUUUGUCUCCAGUGAAAUAGAUGCAGGCAAGUAUUUUGAUUGUUCUGAACACAUUAGAGAUGAGUGCUACACAGAACUAAGGUAAACUUUGUAAAUUCGUAUGUCAUAACACUUUGUUCCACAAAAAACUAUCUUAUUUUUUAUACUCCAUACUGAUACAGCCAAAUAAUGUGGCUCUUAUUUUCUAAAGAUGCCAGCAAUAUGUUUAAACAUGUCUUCAUUGUAGUAAAAGUAUCAUAUUUAUAAAAAAUACAUAUGCAUUUAAUGUGAUAUUCCUUAUAGUCAAAAUCUUGAUAUCAUCCUGUUAAUCUGGCUAAAAAUGUAUCUGUAAAAUGAAAGAGAGGAAUAUUUUGCCAUUCCCU